AAUCUCAAUGUCAAAAAUGCUCAUUUCAUUGUGUGUUCUUGGUGCUUAUAAGCUCCGAAAUCAACAGGUGUUGUCUUUACGUAAUAGGAUAAAACAACGGCGAAUAAAUGUUCGAAUCAAUUAAUAGCAAGCACCAAACUCGUAGUUUUAAUCCCAAUGGACUCCCUAUUCAAAGUAGGUCAUACCUGUUGAUGAAACCCGUAUACCGCUAUCGAUAUGACCGCAAAACCAAUAUUGUAAAACUUUUGUAGUUUAACUUACACCAAAACUUUCUAAUUAUGCAGUAGUUCUGCAAGAUGAUCUAUUAAUCGCAAUACAUUAUGUAUAUGGAAAUAUACAAUGAAAGAAA